AUCGAACGCUGGCGGCAGGCCUAACACAUGCAAGUCGAGCGAGCGGCGGACGGGUGAGUAAUGUCUGGGAAACUGCCUGAUGGAGGGGGAUAACUCCUGGAACCGGUAGCUAAUACCGCCUACCAUCUGAUGUGCCCAGAUGGGCUUAGCUAGUAGGUGGGGUAACGGCUCACCUAGGCGACCAUCCCCCGCUGGGCUGAGAGGAUGACCAGCCACACUGGAACUGAGACACGGUCCAGACUCCUACGGGAGGCAGCAGUGGGGAAUAUUGCACAAUGGGCGCAAGCCUGAUGCAGCCAUGACGCGUGUGUGAAGAAGGCCUUCGGGUUGUAAAGCACUUUCAGCGGGGAGGCGUUACCCGCAGAAGAAGCACCGGCUAACUCCGUGCCAGCAGCCGCGGUAAUAC
rnacentral:rRNA from 1 species